CGUGAGUGAAGAAGGCCCUUGGGUCGUAAAACUCUGUCAACAGGGAAGAAGUUGUCGUGUAUUAAUAGUGCACGUCAUUGACGGUACCUGUGAAGGAAGCACCGGCUAACUCCGUGCCAGCAGCCGCGGUAAUACGGGGGGUGCAAGCGUUAUUCGGAAUCAUUGGGCGUAAAGGGCACGCAGGCGGCCCUGUCAGUCAGAUGUGAAAGCCCGGGGCUUAACCCCGGACGUGCAUUUGAAACAGCAGGGCUUGAGUAUGGUAGAGGAAAGGGGAAUUCCUGGUGUAGAGGUGAAAUUCGUAGAUAUCAGGAGGAACACCGGUGGCGAAGGCGCCUUUCUGGACCAAUACUGACGCUGAGGUGCGAAGGCGUGGGUAGCGAACAGGAUUAGAUACCCUGGUAGUCCACGCAGUAAACGUUGUAUACUAGGUGUAGCGGGUAUUGACUCCUGCUGUGCCAAAGCUAACGUAUUAAGUAUACCGCCUGGGGAGUACGGUCGCAAGACUA
rnacentral:rRNA from 1 species